rnacentral:rRNA from 1 species
GGAUGCAAUUAUACCAACCAGAUUCCAUCAAAAUUUCACAGUUAAACAUGUUUAAGCGAGAAUAAUACUAGAAUAGGUAACUUCUCGAGAAGUUCUCGUGUUGCACCUU